rnacentral:rRNA from 1 species
UGAGGAAUAUUGGUCAAUGGGCGCAAGCCUGAACCAGCCAUGCCGCGUGCAGGAUGACGGUCCUAUGGAUUGUAAACUGCUUUUAUACAGGAAGAAACACUCGGACGUGUCCGAGCUUGACGGUACUGUAGGAAUAAGGAUCGGCUAACUCCGUGCCAGCAGCCGCGGUAAUACGGAGGAUCCAAGCGUUAUCCGGAAUCAUUGGGUUUAAAGGGUCCGUAGGCGGUUUAAUAAGUCAGUGGUGAAAGCCUAUCGCUUAACGAUAGAACGGCCAUUGAUACUGUUAGACUUGAAUUAGUGGGAAGUAACUAGAAUAUGUAGUGUAGCGGUGAAAUGCUUAGAUAUUACAUGGAAUACCAAUUGCGAAGGCAGGUUACUAUCACUAUAUUGACGCUGAUGGACGAAAGCGUGGGGAGCGAACAGG